rnacentral:rRNA from 1 species
AGUGGCGGACGGGUGAGUAACGCGUGGGUAACCUGCCUCAUACAGGGGGAUAACAGUUGGAAACGGCUGCUAAUACCGCAUAAGCGCACAGUACCGCAUGGUACGGUGUGAAAAACUCCGGUGGUAUGAGAUGGACCCGCGUCUGAUUAGCUAGUUGGUGGGGUAACGGCCUACCAAGGCGACGAUCAGUAGCCGACCUGAGAGGGUGACCGGCCACAUUGGGACUGAGACACGGCCCAA